rnacentral:piRNA from 1 species
UCUUACAUUGGGGUACUUGGAUAUGCCU